rnacentral:misc_RNA from 1 species
GAAACAAUGAAAAUGAAAACUAUACAAGGGAAAAAGCACAAAACAAGGUUAAUGCAUUUGCGUGUUAAAUUGUGGAGUUCUGCGAGAGUUCUCAUCUUCACUUUUCCGCGCCAAAAAUCAAAUCCCAUUGUCCGAUGUAAUCACUUGUUUCUCUCUCACCUCUCACAAAUAGCAGUCGGUUGUCGAUUCCACCCCAAGUUUUG